rnacentral:rRNA from 1 species
UACGUAGGGUGCAAGCGUUAAUCGGAAUUACUGGGCGUAAAGCGUGCGCAGGCGGUGAUGUAAGACAGGUGUGAAAUCCCUCGGCUCAACCGAGGAACUGCGCUUCAUACUGCAUGGCUUGAGGGAGACAGGGGUAAGCGGAACUGAUGGUGGAGCGGUGAAAUGCGUUGAUAUCAUCAGGAACACCGGUGGCGAAAGCGGCUUACUGGGUCUCUUCUGACGCUGAGGUACGAAAGCUAGGGUAGCGAACGAGG